UACGUAGGGGGCCAGCGUUGUCCGGAAUCAUUGGGCGUAAAGCGCGCGUAGGCGGCCUACUAAGUCAGACGUGAAAUCCCCCGGCUUAACCUGGGAACUGCGUCUGAUACUGGAAGGCUUGAGGAUGGGAGAGGGAUGUAGAAUUCCAGGUGUAGCGGUGAAAUGCGUAGAUAUCGGAAGGAACAUCAGUGGCGAAAGCGACUUCCUGGACCAAUACUGACGCUCAUGUGCGAAAGCGUGGGGAGCAAACAGG
rnacentral:rRNA from 1 species